rnacentral:lncRNA from 1 species
UAUUACCAGAUCGAUUUUGGCACGACAUAGGUCAAAACCUCGGGUGUACAUCGGCUGCAUGAAAUCCGGACCUGUGAUUGCUAACAAGUACUCCCUCCGUCCGAAAAUACUUGUCAUCAAAAUGAAUAAAAACGGAUGUAUCUAGAACUAAAAUACGUCUAGAUACAUCCCCUUUUGUUCAUUUUGAUGACAAGUAUUUCCGGACGGAGGGAGUAACACUCAAGAAACCCAUAUUGCCUCCAAUUGAUUAAAAUAUUAAACAUAUGGAGAAAUGUGUCAGGCGAGAGCUUCCAUUUUUUUUAAUGACAAUGCAAACUCGUGAUAUGAACUGUCGAGUGGUGUGGAGAAAGAAGUAUCAUCCGUCCGACAGUGGAAGUUAGUCAUGCUAUGUGCUAGCAAAGCAAUUGUUUCAUUUUUCAGAUUGUUCAUUCCUAUUCUGAUCGGAUAAUGAAAAUAAUGAGUUUUGCAUUCUCUUAUUUACAACUUACAAGGACAGGUCUUACUAGAGAUGCUCCCAAAUAGAUGGUUUCAUUUUACUGACAUUUCUUCUAAAAUUUGGAGUAAUAUAAUGUGGUAAUGCCUGCUUAAUGUUCAC